CGAUCAUCAGCCUUCUUAAUUGAGACUGCAUCACCAAAAAGAUCGAGAAACUCCAAGAAAAUGCUUGAUAAUUCCUCUCUUUCAUCAACACUUGCAACGUUAGGGUUCUCAGGAGAUGGAACUAAGAACUUAUCAACCAAUGAAUCCAACAAAUCUACUCUCUUUGGGAGUGACUGAAUGGAUUCUAAAUGGAUUAGUGCCUCCAGAAGUGGUUUUGACAGCUGGACAUUCUCAACUGCUUGAUCAAGAAUUUCCCUAGCUUUUUCCGCCUUCCCAGAAACCAAGUAACAAAACCGAGAGUACUGUGCAAACAAUAAUGGCAGACACUGUGAGUGUUCCUUCCCUUUUUCAAUGGCAAUAGCUUGUUCGUAUAUGGAACAGGCAUCAUCAAGAUUCCCAAGUCGACGUUCCAUGUUUGCAUGCUUAAUUAUUGCUUCUACAAGCCCAGGUGAUAUUUCAGCAUGCACAAGUUGAUAUGCAGCUCGAGCACCAGUAAUAUCGCCACGUUGCUCCCGCAAUUGAGCAGCAAAAAGGUGAAUCUCUG
rnacentral:misc_RNA from 1 species